rnacentral:rRNA from 1 species
UAACACAUGCAAGUCGAACGAGCGAGAGAGAGCUUGCUUUCUCGAGCGAGUGGCGAACGGGUGAGUAACGCGUGAGGAACCUGCCUCAAAGAGGGGGACAACAGUUGGAAACGACUGCUAAUACCGCAUAAGCCCACAGGUCGGCAUCGACCAGGGGGAAAAGGAGCAAUCCGCUUUGAGAUGGCCUCGCGUCCGAUUAGCUAGUUGGUGAGGUAAUGGCCCACCAAGGCAACGAUCGGUAGCCGGACUGAGAGGUUGAACGGCCACAUUGGGACUGAGACACGGCCCAGACUCCUACGGGAGGCAGCAGUGGGGAAUAUUGCACAAUGGGGGAAACCCUGAUGCAGCGACGCCGCGUGGAGGAAGAAGGUCUUCGGAUUGUAAACUCCUGUUGUUGAGGAAGAUAAUGACGGUACUCAACAAGGAAGUGACGGCUAACUACGUGCCAGCAGCCGCGGUAAAACGUAGGUCACAAGCGUUGUCCGGAAUUACUGGGUGUAAAGGGAGCGCAGGCGGGAAGACAAGUUGGAAGUGAAAUCUAUGGGCUCAACCCAUAAACUGCUUUCAAAACUGUUUUUCUUGAGUAGUGCAGAGGUAGGCGGAAUUCCCGGUGUAGCGGUGGAAUGCGUAGAUAUCGGGAGGAACACCAGUGGCGAAGGCGGCCUACUGGGCACCAACUGACGCUGAGGCUCGAAAGUGUGGGUAGCAAACAGGAUUAGAUACCCUGGUAGUCCACACUGUAAACGAUGAUUACUAGGUGUUGGAGGAUUGACCCCUUCAGUGCCGCAGUUAACACAAUAAGUAAUCCACCUGGGG